rnacentral:rRNA from 1 species
ACGUGAUCUGAGUUCAGACCGGAGUAAUCCAGGUCGGUUUCUAUCUAUAACAGAGCUUUUCCUAGUACGAAAGGACCGAAAAAGCAUAGCCAAUACUUAAAGCAAGCUAUAACUACUAAUUUAUGAUAACCACUUAAUUUAUUACUAGCCUACAACUGCCCUCAAAAUAAGGGG